UGGGGAAUAUUGCACAAUGGGGGAAACCCUGAUGCAGCGACGCCGCGUGAAGGAAGAAGUAUCUCGGUAUGUAAACUUCUAUCAGCAGGGAAGAAAACAGACGGUACCUGACUAAGAAGCCCCGGCUAACUACGUGCCAGCAGCCGCGGUAAUACGUAGGGGGCAAGCGUUAUCCGGAUUUACUGGGUGUAAAGGGGGCGCAGACGGCCAUGGCAAGCCCGGUGUGAAAGGCAGGGGCAUAACCCCUGGACUGCACUGGGAACUGUCAGGCUGGAGUGCCGGAGGGGUAAGCGGAAUUCCUGG
rnacentral:rRNA from 1 species